AUUGUCGCUGAUACUUGUCGAUGUCUUUGUUUGCGAAGAGUCAGCCUCACGCUUGGAAGACAUCAUGAAAGUAAAAAGUUCAAUAUAAAGAACAAAACUAUAUGUUCUUCCAUCACUUGCAUGAGGACCGCCUGCAUAUCCAAUCUGGUGUCAGCGUAGAGAAAUGUCCCAACAUCAUGUCAUCUGUGUACCUCGCUACAAGAUGUGUAUACGCUCCUCAAUCCCUCCACUUCCAUCCAUGCACUGCUGUUCAUUCGUCCUCGGCGAGGAGCGGACCUUGAGGCACACCUGCAAC